AGAGUUUGAUCAUGGCUCAGAUUGAACGCUGGCGGCAUGCCUUACACAUGCAAGUCGAACGGUAACAGGUCUUCGGAUGCUGACGAGUGGCGAACGGGUGAGUAAUACAUCGGAACGUGCCCGAUCGUGGGGGAUAACGAAGCGAAAGCUUUGCUAAUACCGCAUACGAUCUACGGAUGAAAGCAGGGGACCGCAAGGCCUUGCGCGAACGGAGCGGCCGAUGGCAGAUUAGGUAGUUGGUGGGAUAAAAGCUUACCAAGCCGACGAUCUGUAGCUGGUCUGAGAGGACGACCAGCCACACUGGGACUGAGACACGGCCCAGACUCCUACGGGAGGCAGCAGUGGGGAAUUUUGGACAAUGGGCGAAAGCCUGAUCCAGCCAUGCCGCGUGCAGGAUGAAGGCCUUCGGGUUGUAAACUGCUUUUGUACGGAACGAAAAGACUCUGGUUAAUACCUGGGGUCCAUGACGGUACCGUAAGAAUAAGCACCGGCUAACUACGUGCCAGCAGCCGCGGUAAUACGUAGGGUGCAAGCGUUAAUCGGAAUUACUGGGCGUAAAGCGUGCGCAGGCGGUUAUAUAAGACAGAUGUGAAAUCCCCGGGCUCAACCUGGGAACUGCAUUUGUGACUGUAUAGCUAGAGUACGGCAGAGGGGGAUGGAAUUCCGCGUGUAGCAGUGAAAUGCGUAGAUAUGCGGAGGAACACCGAUGGCGAAGGCAAUCCCCUGGGGCCUGUACUGACGCUCAUGCACGAAAGC
rnacentral:rRNA from 1 species